rnacentral:rRNA from 1 species
CCUACGGGAGGCAGCAGUGGGGAAUAUUGGACAAUGGGCGCAAGCCUGAUCCAGCAACGCCGCGUGUGUGAAGAAGGUCUUCGGAUUGUAAAGCACUUUCGACAGGGACGAUGAUGACGGUACCUGUAGAAGAAGCCCCGGCUAACUUCGUGCCAGCAGCCGCGGUAAUACGAAGGGGGCUAGCGUUGCUCGGAAUUACUGGGCGUAAAGGGCGCGUAGGCGGCGUGAUCAGUCAGGCGUGAAAUUCCUGGGCUUAACCUGGGGGCUGCGCUUGAUACGGUCGUGCUAGAGGGCAGAAGAGGGUCGUGGAAUUCCCAGUGUAGAGGUGAAAUUCGUAGAUAUUGGGAAGAACACCGGUGGCGAAGGCGGCGACCUGGUCUGUUACUGACGCCGAGGCGCGAAAGCGUGGGGAGCAAACAGGAUUAGAUACCCUGGUAGUCCACGCUGUAAACGAUGUGCGCUGGAUGUUGGGUGACCUAGUCACUCAGUGUCGUAGCUAACGCGGUAAGCGCACCGCCUGGGGAUACGGCCGCAAGGUUGAAACUUAAAUGAAUUGACGG